GAUGAACGCUAGCUACAGGCUUAACACAUGCAAGCCGAGGGGUAACGAGAGGAAAGCUUGCUUUCCUUGUCGACGACCGGCGCACGGGUGAGUAACGCGUAUCCAACCUGCCCCCAACUAAGGAAUAACCUUGCGAAAGUAAGACUAAUACCUUAUAAUUUCCUCAGAUGACAUCUGACGAGGAAUAAAGAUUUAUCGGUUGUGGAUGGGGAUGCGUCUGAUUAGCUUGUUGGCGGGGUAACGGCCCACCAAGGCAACGAUCAGUAGGGGUUCUGAGAGGAAGGUCCCCCACAUUGGAACUGAGACACGGUCCAAACUCCUACGGGAGGCAGCAGUGAGGAAUAUUGGUCAAUGGGCGAAGGCCUGAACCAGCCAAGUAGCGUGCAGGAUGACGGCCCUAUGGGUUGUAAACUGCUUUCAUACAGGAAUAAAGUUAGCCACGUGUGGUUAUUUGUAGGUACUGUAUGAAUAAGGACCGGCUAAUUCCGUGCCAGCAGCCGCAGUAA
rnacentral:rRNA from 1 species